rnacentral:rRNA from 1 species
UGGGUAAUCUACCUUCUUGUGGGGAAUAACCCUGGGAAAACCGGGGGCUAAUACCGCAUAAGCCCGAAAGGGGAAAGCAGCAAUGCGCAGGAAGAGGAGCCCGCGGCCGAUUAGCUAGUUGGUAGGGUAAAGGCCUACCAAGGCAUUGAUCGGUAGCCGGCCUGAGAGGGCACACGGCCACACUGGCACUGAAACGCGGGCCAGACUCCUACGGGAGGCAG